AAACCAAGCAGAAGUGCUGACUACCUGGAGUUACUCAACACUGCUGCAGGGGAGAACAAAAUGGAAAAGAAAGAUGAAUAGAAGGACUGGGGAGUCAAAGGUCAAACCUCCACAAUGAAAAUAGGCCCCGAGCCAAGUGAAGUCCCAAAUGGCAGAACAGAGGAACAAAGUAGAAAGAAAAAAAUCAAAAGGGAAUCAAAUCAGAGAUCUGUAAAUUCCUGUGUAUGCACUUAAAGAAGAAGCUGGGAUCAAACCAGACAAGCUUACAGAGGACAGUAGCUAAAUUCCAGGAGCCUUGCCUAUCUUACCCUGUAUAAUUGACUAACAUGCAAAGUAUACAAACUCUCAACCAAUGGGCACACAAGGUGCACACAUCCUCAACCAAUGGGUGCGCACAACUGCCCUGAGCACAUAUUGGUUGAAGGUACAUCCUCACCUCUCCCCUCCCCUGUCCAACCUCCCUGCCAUGACUUCUCUUUCUGUAUCAGUGACAGACCAGCACGGCUCCCUCCCACUCUUUUUCAUUUGACAAAAGCCAGCGGUAGAGGGAUGACAGCCUCAUUUCAGGCCACCACAGCUGGAAGGAGAACAGUUUGUGGGGAGGGCAGGGCAGGCCGCUGAGCUGAGGCCAAGCAGACAAUCACUUCCCUUCAGGCUGAUGGGACUGGAAGGACAGCGAUGUGGGGGGGGAGGGGAGGGAAGUGAUUAAGCCAAACUGAGUGGAAGAGCCUGGUAAAAAGAGGAAGGGGAACAACAGGAAGCCAUGCCCCUCCCUCUCUAUAUGGCAUCAUGGCUGGUGCCCCUGAAGGAGAACAUUUGGAGGGAGGGCAGGGAAGGCCACUGCACUCUCCCCUCCCCCAGCUAGAGCCCAUUUCACUGCACUCUGAAAUGGGCUUUCCUGCUAGUGAGACAAUAAAGGAGAUCAAGUCCAGCAUCCUCAGAAACUCUC